UACGGAGGGUGCAAGCGUUAUCCGGAUUCACUGGGUUUAAAGGGUGCGUAGGUGGGUUGGUAAGUCAGUGGUGAAAUCUCCGUGCUUAACAUGGAAACUGCCAUUGAUACUACUGAUCUUGAAUUUUCUGGAGGUAAGCGGAAUAUGUCAUGUAGCGGUGAAAUGCUUAGAUAUGACAUAGAACACCAAUUGCGAAGGCAGCUCGCUACACAUAUAUUGACUCUGAGGCACGAAAGCGUGGGGAUCAAACAGG
rnacentral:rRNA from 1 species